AGACUUUACACGGGUAGAAACAUCUCUAUAUAAAUCUGGUUUCCUAGAUGUCUGGAGUAUUAUAAACUUUGAAGACGUCUUAGGGGAAUUUAAGACAUAAUUGAAGAAGUAUAACACAAAGUUUCAUUAUGCAGGUCAAGUUUAUGUUGCUGGCAAUCUGUGCUGUUUUACUUUGUAUCAAUUUUGUAAAAGGAAGUUCCAGUGAUAGUGGUGAUAGGAACGUUGGUGGGAGAUUCAGAGGGAGUCAGAACGGUGGGAGAUUCGGAGGGAGGCAGAACGGUGGUAGCAGCGAUAGCAGCGACAGUAGUAAUGGUGGAAGAAGGAGGCAAAGACCAAACCAAUGUUAUUACCAGUGUGACUACGCCCUGUAUAAGUGUAAAAAUUAUCAAUGCAGACCCCUUUAUCACAGCCAGGGAUAUUUUUACUACAAACAAUGUAUCAAUGAUUGUCAAUUCAUCAAAGAAAAAUGUUAUUUCUUUUGUAAUGAGUACGGAUACUAUCCAGGGGAUAACCAUCAAUUCUAACUCAUUUCAUAUAACCAGCGAUGUAUAGUUAAUAUUCUAUUGUUUUUUUUUAUAAAUUAUUUAAUGAAAACAUAUCAAAUGUAUUCACUUUUACAUGUGUUGCCUUGGUAACAUUGAUAAUUUUAUGUGGUACAUCAUAGAUGUAUAAAUGGGUUUAUUAAUCUAUGGGUACAUAUACAUUGACGAUUUUUCAAUUUGUUAACUUUUGAGUUGUAUAUACAUUUUUAUAAGCAAAAAAAUCAACGUUAAAAGAUACAGUCAGCAAAUAAAAAAGAUCUACUUUUAGAUCGACGUCUGAUGUU